UACGUAGGUGGCAAGCGUUGUCCGGAUUUACUGGGCGUAAAGAGCGCGCAGGCGGUCGUACAAGUCGCAUGUGAAAGCCCCCGGCUCAACUGGGGAGGGUCACGCGAUACUGUUCGACUCGAAGGCAGGAGAGGGAAGCGGAAUUCCCGGUGUAGUGGUGAAAUGCGUAGAUAUCGGGAGGAACACCAGUGGCGAAGGCGGCUUCCUGGCCUGUUCUUGACGCUGAGGCGCGAAAGCUAGGGUAGCAAACGGG
rnacentral:rRNA from 1 species